GAUGAACGCUGGCGGCGUGCCUAGUACAUGCAAGUCGAGCGAACAGACGAGGAGCUUGCUCCUCUGACGUUAGCGGCGGACGGGUGAGUAACACGUGGAUAACCUACCUAUAAGACUGGGAUAACUUCGGGAAACCGGAGCUAAUACCGGAUAAUAUAUUGAACCGCAUGGUCCAAUAGUGAAAGACGGUUUUGCUGUCACUUAUAGAUGGAUCCGCGCCGCAUUAGCUAGUUGGUAAGGUAACGGCUUACCAAGGCAACGAUGCGUAGCCGACCUGAGAGGGUGAUCGGCCACACUGGAACUGAGACACGGUCCAGACUCCUACGGGAGGCAGCAGUAGGGAAUCUUCCGCAAUGGGCGAAAGCUUGACGGAGCAACGCCGCGUGAGUGAUGAAGGUCUUCGGAUCGUAAAACUCUGUUAUUAGGGAAGAACAAAUGUGUAAGUAACUAUGCACGUCUUGACGGUACCUAAUCAGAAAGCCACGGCUAACUACGUG
rnacentral:rRNA from 1 species